rnacentral:tRNA from 1 species
GGGAUGGUGGUGUAGCCUGGUAGCAUGCCACCUUCGGGAGGUGGUGACCCCGGUUCAAAUCCGGGCCAUCCCA